rnacentral:misc_RNA from 1 species
AGACAAGUUACUUUUGUGAGGGAAAAAUCGAUCCUUAGUUAAAUUCAUGUUCUUAGUAUUGACUCAAGUCAUUUCGCUAAUUUAAAGAUAAAUAAAUAACUUCAUCAUAGCACUAGCAAGCAAUACAAUCCAAUUCUAUGAUUCCAUUUCACAACCACUACUGUAAUUUAAAGAAUAGGCCCCCUUUCCUUCAUCAACUUUCAAA